rnacentral:lncRNA from 1 species
GUCUACCAAAAAUGGUUACACAGCUGUCUUCUCUAUAAAUACUUAAACUUUGAGGACCCAAGUAAGUAACCCAUCUCAGAGAGCUAAAACUCUGCUUCUCUAUUUGUACAUUCUGAUUUGAGCAUCGGAGGAUCCUCACCGGAGUACAAUCCUCCAACCCAGAUCUUUUUGCAGAUUGCUCCAGUGCUGUGCCUCCUUAUCUUCCGAUGUCAACCAGAAACAAGCCGUAAC